UACGGAGGGGGCUAGCGUUGUUCGGAAUUACUGGGCGUAAAGGGCGCGUAGGCGGUCAGACCAAGUCGAGUGUGAAAUUCCAGGGCUUAACUCUGGCGCGCUCGCUCGAUACUGGUCGGCUAGAGUGUGGAAGAGGAUGCUGGAAUUCCCGGUGUAGCGGUGAAAUGCGUAGAUAGUCGGGAGGAACACCAGUGGCGGAGGCGGGCAUCUGGGCCAACACUGACGCUGAGGCGCGAAAAGCUAGGGGGAGCAAACAGG
rnacentral:rRNA from 1 species